rnacentral:rRNA from 1 species
AACGAACGCUGGCGGCAGGCCUAACACAUGCAAGUCGAACGCUGUAGCAAUACAGAGUGGCAGACGGGUGAGUAACGCGUGGGAACCUUCCCAAUGGUACGGAAUAGCUCAGGGAAACUUGAGGUAAUACCGUAUAAGCCCCUAGGGGGAAAGAUUUAUCGCCAUUGGAUGGGCCCGCGUCGGAUUAGCUAGUUGGUGAGGUAAUGGCUCACCAAGGCGACGAUCCGUAGCUGGUUUGAGAGAAUGACCAGCCACACUGGGACUGAGACACGGCCCAGACUCCUACGGGAGGCAGCAGUGGGGAAUCUUGGACAAUGGGCGAAAGCCUGAUCCAGCCAUGCCGCGUGAGUGACGAAGGCCUUAGGGUUGUAAAGCUCUUUUGCCGGGGACGAUAAUGACGGUACCCGGAGAAUAAGUCCCGGCUAACUUCGUGCCAGCCGCCGCGGUAA